rnacentral:rRNA from 1 species
CAAAUCAGGUAGGAUUACCCGCUGAACUUAAGCAUAUCAAUAAGCGGAGGAAAAGAAACUAACAAGGAUUCCCCUAGUAACUGCGAGUGAAGCGGGAAAAGCUCAAAUUUAAAAUCUGGCGGUCUUUGGCCGUCCGAGUUGUAGUCUGGAGAAGUGCUUUCCGCGCUGGACCGUGUACAAGUCUCUUGGAACAGAGCGUCAUAGAGGGUGAGAAUCCCGUCUUUGACACGGACUACCAGUGCUUUGUGAUGUGCUCUCAAAGAGUCGAGUUGUUUGGGAAUGCAGCUCAAAAUGGGUGGUAAAUUCCAUCUAAAGCUAAAUAUUGGCGAGAGACCGAUAGCGAACAAGUACCGUGAGGGAAAGAUGAAAAGCACUUUGGAAAGAGAGUUAAACAGUACGUGAAAUUGCUGAAAGGGAAACGCUUGAAGUCAGUCGCGUUGGCCAGGACUCAGCCUUGCUUAUUUGCUUGGUGCAUUUUCUGGUUGACGGGCCAGCAUCGAUUUUGACCGCUGGAAAAAGAUUAGGGGAAUGUGGCACCUUCGGGUGUGUUAUAGCCCUUAGUCACAUACAGUGGUUGGGAUCGAGGACCGCAGCACGCCUUUAUGGCCGGGGUUCGCCCACGUUCGUGCUUAGGAUGCUGGCGUAAUGGCUUUAAACGACCCGUCUUGAAACACGGACCAAGGAGUCUAACAUGCCUGCGAGUGUUUGGGUGGAAAACCCGAGCGCGUAAUGAAAGUGAAAGUUGAGAUCCCUGUCGUGGGGAGCAUCGACGCCCGGACCUGAACUUCGGUGAUGGAUCUGCGGUAGAGCAUGUAUGUUGGGACCCGAAAGAUGGUGAACUAUGCCUGAAUAGGGUGAAGCCAGAGGAAACUCUGGUGGAGGCUCGUAGCGAUUCUGACGUGCAAAUCGAUCGUCAAAUUUGGGUAUAGGGGCGAAAGACUAAUCGAACCAUCU